AUGGGCUGGCGGUUGCUGCCCGCCGUGCUCCUGGCCCUGGCGCUGGGCGGCCCCGCGGCGCGGGCGCAGAACGAGACGGAGCCCAUCGUCCUGGAGGGCAAGUGCCUGGUGGUGUGCGAUUCCAACCCGACCACCGACGCCAAGGGCUCGUCCUCCUCUCCGCUGGGCAUCUCGGUGAGGGCGGCCAACUCGAAGGUCGCCUUCUCGGCGGUCAGGAGCACCAACCACGAGCCCUCCGAGAUGAGCAACAAGACGCGCAUCAUCUACUUCGACCAGAUCCUAGUAAACGUGGGCAAUUUUUUCACAUUGGAAUCUGUCUUUGUGUCACCAAGAAAAGGAAUUUACAGCUUCAGUUUUCACGUGAUUAAAGUCUACCAGAGCCAAACAAUCCAGGUUAACUUGAUGCUCAAUGGGAAGCCAGUCAUCUCUGCUUUUGCUGGGGACAAGGAUGUCACUCGCGAAGCUGCCACUAAUGGAGUCCUGCUCUACCUGGACAAAGAGGAUAAGGUUUACCUGAAGUUGGAGAAAGGUAAUCUGGUUGGUGGAUGGCAGUAUUCUACGUUUUCUGGCUUUCUGGUCUUUCCACUGUAAAGUCAAUUUUCCUGUGACGUUUGUCCGGUUGUGGAGUCGUCAUUGCCCCUGUCACAUGAAGAUCAUUCUGUCAUCGUGGGAUUGAUGUUUCCUUAUUGGUUUUUCAUGGGUGAAUAAGGAUUCUCUUUAUGGAUUUUGGCCUCAUCUGAACUACACAGAAGUUUCACAGAAUUCUGUGUGUUUGAAUACAAUAUGUUUGGAUUGAGACUAAAGCAGACGAUAAAUACCUAUGCUUAAUGUUACGGUCUAAAGCUGCCUGCACAUUUUAUUCAGAUUUCGUUUACUGGACUUAUGGAUUCAUGAGAGAAGUGGAUUUUCUUUAAUUGUGAAAUGACUGGAAACCAGGUCCAUAAUUUAGCAGAAUUUGAGUUCAUUCUUCAAUCAAGAGUUAGUGUGUUGCUACCAAAGAACUGUAUAUUGAUAUAUUGGUCAUACAUGUUUCUGUCACUGGGACUUAGCUAACAUGACUCAUUCCAUUGUCUUGAGAAAGGUAAUUAUUUAUGCUAAGUGACUGACUUUAAUUCUCCUCUGCUGUAGUGUCUUGGAUGGUUCACCCAUACAUUUAUGCUCUGUCACUGGCUAUGAUUGCAUCUUGCCUGCAGAAAGCUAAGAAGGAUAUAAUUAUUAUAUGCAAGAUAUGAGCUUUUGGGAUUCACAGAGAGUGCCCUGGGAGGCAGGCGAGCUGUCCUGGUUCAGUCUGAUGGAAUCCUAGAGGCAUUGUUAACCAGCUGACACAAAGUGCGUACAAGAAGAUCCCCAGUGACAGAAUGCAGUGGUUGGCACAUGCCACAACAUCGUAUUUUUUGUGCUAUUGUUGUGCAGAUGGAAAUGGCUCCUUUGAGGAAAGACAUUGUCUUGGAUGCUGAGCUGAAGUUAUUUAUCUGUUGCUGUUUGCCAAUGAGGGGAAACCUUUCCUACCCAAGAGCACUAAGGGAAAUGUGCGAAGAACAAUGGUAAAAUCAGUCCCCAUUAUAUAAGAGAUGAUGAGGAUGAUGGAAAUGUGGCUUGAACAGUCUGCUUGUUCUGCUGUGAUCUAAGGUGUCUGAUGGAAUCAGUUGCUGUUUUAAUCUUUGCAGUUUGGGGAAGGGAAAAUGCCACUUCCCUCAUUUUUAAUAGGUUAUUUCCUUGACCCCCCAAACCCCUUUUUUUCCUUAUAUCUUCUGGUUCAGACUAGCUGCGAAAAAAUAUGGAAUUGGAAAUGAUUUAAGAAAAGUUCAUUUCUGAAGGGGGAAUGUGGUUUGGUUUUGUCCUUAUUUCCUGCGAUGUAUGAUGUGGGGAACAAAUAACCACAAGGGGGGUGGAAAUGUGACAAAGCUGGUUUCUAUGUAACCUGAGUUAACCCAAACACAUUCUUGAGCUGCUGUGCAGUUUGGUGCACCUACAUGUGAUACUUGGUGCACCUGCUCUUACAUGUGAUACUUUUUUACCAUGCAUGGUACCGACCUGUCCUGUUGAGGCUACAGUAUUGUAAUCUGAUGGCCUUCAUCCUGCUGGAGGAAUCUAGAUGUAGCAGCAUAGA